UCGUUUGAAUUAUCGAGAGUAGUUUGAACUCUGAUUGUUUAACCAUGAGCUCAGUGCUUAUAACUUUUUGUAAUAAAUUAUUCCUGGGGUUUCUAUUAAAUUUUCAUCUAUUUCAUUGUCAUUCCGAUAUAGUCGUCAACUCUUCAAUCUCUAGCUACCAUUCGACUUCCCUCGUUUUUAUAAUCCCACUACCAAUUUCGAGUCGCGAUUUUUGGACCGAGCGACAUGCCGAAAUAUGCCGAUCGCUCAGACGUGUGUAUUGUUUGUACUCGUAUCAAACUAACGACCAGAUUGAGAACCCAGCUGUCUCAUAUCGAAGUCCAGUCUCAACAUUUCAACAAUUUCGAAGAAUGACAGUUAAUUUGCAGAAUUAUGCCCUCGCGGAAAUAUCGCACCACCUCCGACCUAUUUUUCACAAACACAAUCACUACGUUGGACAAUUCGAUGGCUGUUGUCCGGGUCAGUUCAACGUAUACUACAAAACAGGUUUCCUUCAUAUGGCGAUGACACCUAAAGAAUACGUGUUCCAUUUAACCGACUAUAGUGACGAAAACAAACAAUUGAACUAUAUCUGGUCUUUUUUCUACCCCAUCUGUCAAGUCAACAUCAUCGCCCGCCUGGGUUUUGGGAAAGGAGGGAUGCGCGUGUUGGGGCAUCAUCACAGAAAAGGAUACCCGUACCUAUUGAAGAUUGGCAAUCAAUGGACGGAGCGGAUUUCGUACAAUAACGUUGGUGCUUACUUGACCUUCAGCUGGUUCAAGAAGAAUGUUAUUUGCAUAGAGCAGGAAUGGAUCUGCAAUGGAACUAACCUGACUUUGAAUAGCUAAAGUAAUCCUUGCUUCGGGGCUGUAUAUUUAAGGCGAAAAAUAU